AAUCAACGCUGGCGGCGUGCCUCAGACAUACAAGUCGAACGAUUAAAGCUCUCUUCGGAGAGUGUAUAGAGUGGCGCACGGGUGAGUAACACGUAAGUAAUCUACCCUCGAGUGGGGAAUAACAACCGGAAACGGUUGCUAAUACCGCAUAAUGCAGCGGCACCGCAAGGUGACAGUUGUUAAAGAUUUAUCGCUUGAGGAGGAGCUUGCGGCAGAUUAGCUAGUUGGUAGGGUAACGGCUUACCAAGGCUACGAUCUGUAACCGGUCUAAGAGGACGGUCGGUCACACUGACACUGAAUAACGGGUCAGACUCCUACGGGAGGCAGCAGUCGGGAAUUUUGGGCAAUGGGCGAAAGCCUGACCCAGCAACGCCGCGUGAAGGAUGAAGUAUUUCGGUAUGUAACUUCGAAGAAUAGGAAGAAUUAAUGACGGUACUAUUAUAAGGUCCGGCUAACUACGUGCCAGCAGCCGCGGU
rnacentral:rRNA from 1 species